rnacentral:rRNA from 1 species
UAGGGAAUCUUCCGCAAUGGACGCAAGUCUGACGGAGCAACGCCGCGUGAGUGAAGAAGGAUUUCGGUUCGUAAAACUCUGUUGUUAGAGAAGAACAGCGCAUAGAGUAACUGUUAUGCGUGUGACGGUAUCUAACCAGAAAGCCACGGCUAACUACGUGCCAGCAGCCGCGGUAAUACGUAGGUGGCAAGCGUUGUCCGGAUUUAUUGGGCGUAAAGCGAGCGCAGGCGGUCAAUUAAGUCUGAUGUGAAAGCCCCCGGCUCAACCGGGGAGGGUCAUUGGAAACUGGUUGCCUUGAGUGCAGAAGAGGAGAGUGGAAUUCCAUGUGUAGCGGUGAAAUGCGUAGAUAUAUGGAGGAACACCAGUGGCGAAGGCGACUCUCUGGUCUGUAACUGACGCUGAGGUUCGAAAGCGUGGGUAGCAAACAGG